rnacentral:miRNA from 1 species
CCCAGUCUACGUGAUACCCUCAAGAGGCAAUUACACUGUAGAGAGAGGGGGGACGCUGGACUUGGAGUCAGAAGACUUGAG